rnacentral:rRNA from 1 species
UACGAAGGGGGGCUAGCGUUGCUCGGAAUGACUGGGCGUAAAGGGCGCGUAGGCGGUGCAUUUCGGUCAGGCGUGAAAUUCCUGGGCUUAACCUGGGGACUGCGCUUGAGACGGGUGUGCUGGAGGGCAGGAGAGGCUCGCGGAAUUCCCAGUGUAGAGGUAGAAAUUCGUAGAUAGUUGGGAAGAACACCGGUGGCGAAGGCGGCAGCUGGCCGUGUACCUGACGCUGAGGCGCGCAGCGUGGGGAGCAAACAGG